UCUUGGACAUGCCUUGCAUGGCAGGCUCCCCGCACGUACGUGCGGCCAACUGUCAUGGGGCUGUCUUCUCAGUGUCCCUUCGUUUAUCCAUUUUGGUAGCUUCGGGUGCCUCGGAUUUGGUUGCCUGUGCGGUCUUACCGUAGUUGGUAUCACAACUGUCCCGCUGUUGCGUAUUUCGCUUGCCCCGUGGAUGAUAUUCAUCGAUGGGCAGCCGAGGCGUUGGUAACUUCCYUGCGCUGUGAUGCACGGUGUGCGUCGGAACUGCURAUGGGAUGUUUGCCGGGUCUCACGGAUAUCAGUCCCUACGUUGAGCGGUCUGCGGGCUUGAAGCCUGCAGGCUCAAGGUGUUGCCCGCYCACAUAAAUUUGUUGCUGAUGCUCCAUCGGCACGUGAUCCUUCGGGAUUCAUGUUGAGGGAUCUCACUCGGCGCKUGUUUGUGUGUACGUGCKUAUCCUUACCGACCCGAAUGAUACACGACUUGCCCGUCGGCYUCGUCACGGGAAG
rnacentral:misc_RNA from 1 species